GGCCCGGCAGGGGAGAACGGCUCGUGACCCAAGCCUGCUUCUACUCUGCGGGCGCUCGCGCUCGCACGCGCGGUGGCGGCGUGAGAGCCGCCGACUAGCCGGGACCUGUCGCCGCGAGGCCUGGGCGCCCAUCACCGAACUAGGGGAACCGCUGGGAAGGGAACCGGCGGCGGCAUUUGCCAUCCAGACGACGCCCGUGGGUCAGGCACGCAUAUACGCGCGCCUAUGCGUCUCUGCUGAGCGCCCCUCGCGAGGGAACCGACGAUUCGUCGUGAGGGAGUUAUUAGGAUCGGCUCCGAGCCGUGGAACCGCCGCAUCGCCCGAUGACCAUGGAAGCGUCGAUGUGCUAGGCCUGCGGCAGAUAUCUGCGCGGGGAUCUGGACCAAGCAAGCGCGGAUGACAACGGGACGAUAACGCCGCGAAAGGGGGCGGCGCUGACGUCACAAACCACGGGUUCUACGGGCUACAAAAGGACGCUCAGAAGAAGAACGCCCCGCAGUCCGGUGGAGCAGCGACCGAGCUCUGACCGUGUUUUCUUUGUUAUAGGCACCGGAUUUUCUCGGAUGAGCGCACAAGUUUGCCGGCCGGGAACACAGAGGACAAAGCUGGCGUCGUCUGCAACACAGAUGACCGAGAAGCGGUGUUGGGGUCUGCGUUUUACUACCAAGAGACGCACGCUCUAACGCAACGAGGCUUGUGCUUCGUGUGGGCCGGGUGAACCAUACAGGCAUUCCACAGGAAAUAUCAAUACGUGUUAAAUUCAUGAGGGAGUCCUCAAAGAUGUUUCAUGCAAUUUACAAAAAGAAAUAUCUGCCAUUACGUAGACAGUAAAUCCAGAAAGAGCACUGAUAUUGUUCAUGCAAAGCAUUUGAAAGGACAUGUCACACUGCCAUGCAUUGCGACAUACAGGGAGCAAGACACUUUGUCCCGUGCUGCCUGGAGCCCAAUGAAAAUGCAAGUAGAAAACAUCUUCACAAUUAAAACUGAAAACCUACACGAGUAUGAACAAAUUCUUGUGGUAUUAUUUGUUACCACUGAUUUGGUUAGAUGUCGAUGGCGAUCACAUUUCGCGGUUAUGUUAAAAAAAUGCGAGUCGAGACUGUGGCGCUUAACAUCACCAACAUUUGUAACAAUAAAAAAAUGGCAGUCAUUCUUUGUUGACUAGUUUUUGUG